AGCCCUUUAACGCACGUCUUCCCGACCGCAUAACUUGCUCAGUCCCUGCGGCCAACUGGGGCGGGCCAAUGGCUGUGACGGAUAAGGGGUGUGGGGUGCGGGGACAAUGGGCCAGAGCUUCUCAUGCAGCCUGCACCAGCGCCGGGUCGGAGAGUCAGAGGCCACCCUGAGAUGGACCGAGAUCUUCAGUUGGGGAGGCGCCUCCGGUGAGCUUGCGGCCAGAUGCCCCCUCAGUAGUCCUCCGCAACAGGUGCCGCGCAGCCGAGUGGCGGGCUAGCAUACCGCCUGCCCGCAAUUCGGCCAGGCCUCGAGCCUGCUCCGCCUUCCCGCUGCGGUAGCGCCGCCGGGGAAACGCCGCCACGGGCUGCAUGGGCAGCGCUCGCGCCCCGCCGCUGAGCCGCCGGGGAGCCGUCCAGUCUUCGAAUCCCAGAAACACAAAGAUGGUGCAGACCCAGGCCCUGCUUUGACUGGGAGAAAGAUGCAUUCAGUUGACUAAAACUUGAACCACAGCAUGUUCCGAAGAGAUGAUUGGAAGAUGGAAGUGGAGGGUUAAAUAAUGAAAUGCAGCUAACAUUUCGGAAAGUUUCUAAAAGUUGUACAACAUGCCCUACAGCUACUCUUUAAAUCUCCAAAUCAAAUGAGUUUCAGGUGGAGCCUCUGGGAGGUGAUGAGGUCAUGAGAGUGGAGCCUCAUGAAUGGGAUGAGCACUCCUACAAAAAGGAUUCCAGAGAGCUCGCUUGCUCCUUCCACAGUGUGAGGACACAGAGGGAAGGCUCUGUCUAUGAAUGAGAAAGUGGGUCCCCACCAGACAUUGAAUCUGCCGCAUCUUGAUACUGGACUUCCAGUCUCCAGAACUGUGGGCAAUAAAUGUCUGUUGUUUAUUACCUGUCCAGUAUCUUUGGUAUUUUGCUAUAGCAACCCAAAUGGACUAAGAAAACACCAGAGGCCAUACCUAAUAAAAAUAUUGACAUCACAAU
rnacentral:lncRNA from 1 species